rnacentral:rRNA from 1 species
GAUGAACGCUAGCGGCAGGCUUAAUACAUGCAAGUCGAGGGGCAGCAGGACUGUAGCAAUACAGUUGCUGGCGACCGGCAAACGGGUGCGGCACACGUACGCAACCUACCCAAAACUGGGGGAUAGCCCGGGGAAACCCGGAUUAAUACCUCGUAACCUUUUUCAGUGGCAUCACUUGAUAAGUAUAGCUCCGGCGGUUUUGGAUGGGUGUGCGCCUGAUUAGGUAGUUGGUGCGGGUAACGGCCCACCAAGCCUGCGAUCAGUAACUGGUGUGAGAGCACGACCAGUAAAACGGGAACUGGGAAACGGGCACGACUCCUACGGGAGGAAGCAGUAAGGAAUAUUGGUCAAUGGACGCAAGUCUGAACCAGCCAUGCCGCGUGAAGGAUGAAGGUCCUCGGGAUUGUAAACUUCUGUUAUGGGGGACGAAACCCGGAUAUUCUUAUCCGAUUGACGGUACCUCAGGAAUAAGCACCGGCUAACUCCGUG